rnacentral:rRNA from 1 species
ACUUUACGGAACCCCAGUAUUUAUUAGAUUCAAACCAAUAUUCCGAAGGUCUACUUGAGAUGAUUCAUGAUAACUGAUCGAAUUGCUGGUCUACCGGCAAUAAGCCAUUCAUGUUUCUGCUUCCCAUCAGCUUGAUGGUAGUGUAUUGGACAACCAUGGCAUUCACGGGCUAUCGGGGGAUUAGGAUUCGAUUCCGGAGAGGGAGCCUGAGAAACGGCUACCACUUCUACGGAAGGCAGCAGGCGCGAAAAUUAUCCAAUCCUGAUUCAGGGAGGUAGUGAAACAAAUAAUGAACUAGGAUUUAUCCUGGGGUCACAAUGGGCUUGAUUUGCAAACUUUAUUUAGCGAGGAACAAUUGGAGGGCAAGUCUGGUGCCAGCAGCCGCGGUAAUUCCAGCUCCAAUAGUGUAUAUUAAUGUUCCUGCAGUUAUUCGAUGCUCGUAGUUGGAUUUCUGGAGGCUGAGAUCGGAGGGUAGCCAAGGUUACCGCUGAACUCUUCCUUCAUCCACCUGUUAACGUUGUCCGGGAUUCGUUUCUCGGCUUCGGGCUCAGGCAUAUACUUUUACCCUUUUUCUAUAUUUAUUGUUUUGAGUAAAUUAUAGUGUUUCAGGCAGGCGUGCGCCGGAAUACUUUAGCAUGGAAUAAUCGAAUUGGACCGUGUAUUCUUAUUGAAUUCUUCCUUAUUGUUGGCUCAAGGACACGGAAAUGGUUAAUAGGGAUAGUGUUUUUAUUAUCAGGGGAGGCAUUAGUAUUUAAUUUCCAGAGGUGAAAUUCUUUGAAAUAUUAAAGACUAACUUAUGCGAAAGCAUUUAUUAUUGCCAAUAAUGUUUUCAUUAAUCAUUGAACGAAAGUUAGGGGAUCAAAGACGAUCAGAUACCGUCCUAGUCUUAACCAUAAACGUUGCCGACUAGGGAUCGGAGGGCGUGCACAUUCCGCCUUCGGCACCUUACGAGAAAUCAAAGUCUUUUGGGUUCUGGGGGUAGUAUGGUCGCAAGGCUGAAACUUAAAGGAAUUGACGGAAGGGCACCACCAGGAGUGGAGCUUGCGGCUCAAUUUGACUCAACACGGGAAAUCUUACCAGGUCCAGACAUAGCGAGGAUUGACAGAUUGAUAGCUCUUUCUUGAUUCUAUGGGUAUUUUAUAUAUAUUUUGGUGGUGCAUGGCCGUUCUUAGUUAGUGGAGUGAUUUGUCUGGUUAAUUCCGUUAAACGAACGAGACCUCAGCCUGCUAAAUAGUUACCUGUCUUUUCAUUC